rnacentral:rRNA from 1 species
CCUACGGGUGGCAGCAGUGGGGAAUAUUGGACAAUGGGCGAAAGCCUGAUCCAGCCAUGCCGCGUGUGUGAAGAAGGCCUUCGGGUUGUAAAGCACUUUCAGUGGGGAAGAAAGCCUUGGGGCUAAUACCCUCGAGGAAGGACAUCACCCACAGAAGAAGCACCGGCUAACUCCGUGCCAGCAGCCGCGGUAAUACGGAGGGUGCGAGCGUUAAUCGGAAUUACUGGGCGUAAAGCGCGCGUAGGCGGUCUGAUAAGCCGGUUGUGAAAGCCCCGGGCUCAACCUGGGAACGGCAUCCGGAACUGUCAGGCUAGAGUGCAAGAGAGGAAGGUAGAAUUCCCGGUGUAGCGGGGAAAUGCGGAGAGGUCGGGAGGAAUACCAGUGGGGAAGGCGGCCUUUUGGACUGACACUGACGCUGAGGUGCGAAAGCGUGGGUAGCAAACAGGAUUAGAUACCCCAGUAGUC